rnacentral:rRNA from 1 species
AUUGAACGCUGGCGGCAGGCCUAACACAUGCAAGUCGAACGGUAACAGAAAGCAGCUUGCUGCUUUGCUGACGAGUGGCGGACGGGUGAGUAAUGUCUGGGAAACUGCCUGAUGGAGGGGGAUAACUACUGGAAACGGUAGCUAAUACCGCAUAACGUCGCAAGACCAAAGAGGGGGACCUUCGGGCCUCUUGCCAUCGGAUGUGCCCAGAUGGGAUUAGCUAGUAGGUGGGGUAACGGCUCACCUAGGCGACGAUCCCUAGCUGGUCUGAGAGGAUGACCAGCCACACUGGAACUGAGACACGGUCCAGACUCCUACGGGAGGCAGCAGUGGGGAAUAUUGCACAAUGGGCGCAAGCCUGAUGCAGCCAUGCCGCGUGUAAGAAGAAGGCCUUCGGGUUGUAAAGUACUUUCAGCGGGGAGGAAGGGAGUAAAGUUAAUACCUUUGCUCAUUGACGUUACCCGCAGAAGAAGCACCGGCUAACUCCGUG